ACCCAAUUUUCUAAAUGUAAUCUGUCUCUUACACUCUUCUUAUAAUUACUUGUUUUUUUAUUUUUUCCUAAUGCCUGACCCUCAUAGUCAUGUUCAUUACUUAUUUAGGACACUAUUUUGCACUAUACUAUGUCAAGAUUCACCAAGAGGAUUUGUAAGAGUGAAUAUAAACAAAAGACUUCAAUGCCAACCUCACAUGUGCCAUACUCCAUCACAAAUGCCAAAUAUUUAGGCUUUACAACUACAAAAACGGUUUGAUUAAUUUGACUCUAACACCUUCGGUACUCUGUCUAAAAUAUAAAUUAUAU
rnacentral:lncRNA from 1 species